rnacentral:rRNA from 1 species
GUGGGGAAUAUUGGACAAUGGGCGCAAGCCUGAUCCAGCCAUGCCGCGUGAGUGAUGAAGGCCCUAGGGUUGUAAAGCUCUUUUGUGCGGGAAGAUAAUGACGGUACCGCAAGAAUAAGCCCCGGCUAACUUCGUGCCAGCAGCCGCGGUAAUACGAAGGGGGCUAGCGUUGCUCGGAAUCACUGGGCGUAAAGGGUGCGUAGGCGGGUCUUUAAGUCAGGGGUGAAAUCCUGGAGCUCAACUCCAGAACUGCCUUUGAUACUGAAGAUCUUGAGUUCGGGAGAGGUGAGUGGAACUGCGAGUGUAGAGGUGAAAUUCGUAGAUAUUCGCAAGAACACCAGUGGCGAAGGCGGCUCACUGGCCCGAUACUGACGCUGAGGCACGAAAGCGUGGGGAGCAAACAGGAUUAGAAACCCGGGUAGUCC